GUAGGAGGAAUGUAGGUUAAAGUUGGAUCAAGGGGGCCGAACCCAAAUGAAGAGCAAUUGGAUUAGGGUAUUUUGCAAGAGAGACGAACGAUCCAGCCUGUUCGGUGCUGUCAAUAGCUCUAUAUAUUUUCAUCUUGUUGGUGUUUUGGGAGGUAGGGUUUAUAAAUUCAUCGUUAACCCCAAGAGGUAGAACGCGCCGCUUCUGAGCAAGUCUGCAUGUAGUUGUGCUUUCAUAGAAUCUUUCCAGAGGAGACGGAUGCUAUGGGACCUGUCGCGAAACAGCAAGAGAAAGAAGAUGACGACGACGAUGAAGAUGAAGGAAACAUCACGCAUCAUGAAGAUGCAGUCCUUCCGUCGAAUCAGUAAUUAACCAAAAUAAUCCGUCGAUGGAACCUACCGACUCCAUGAAAUCCUCCUCGAUCUGCCUCUUCGUUAAUGGUAACGAGGACUUCACCCUCUUCUUCUUUUCCGACAGUCCUCCUCUUUUCCUACUCCUCGGCGAUUUCAUCUCCUUCUCUUUCCUUCUUCUCAGUCCUCAAUCCUUUAUUGUUGCUGUAGUCCACAUUCUGGUGGUUCUCAGAUUCCACGACCUCACCUCUUCAGCCGCCGCAGGGGAUUCUUCUCUUUCCGUCUUCUUCAACUUAUCUUUUUCUUUCUCCACCCCUUCUCUUCUACAAGGCCAGUAAUUCAUGGAUAUAUAUAUAAAUGUCAUUACUUUUCAAAACCUGAGCAAUGUUAAUCUGUCUGUCUGGCCAUCCAAGAAACAUAUACAGAUGGUUAUGGUCCUCCUUGGUAGAAUGCGGAAAGUACUAGCGCUUACUUUCUAUGGCUUGUACCAGAACUAUAUUAAAUUGAUUAAGAAUAUAAGCUCAGAAGAGUUUGAUUUGCAGCGAAAGAGGAUUGCUUUGAAAUUAAAUUCCAUAUAUUUUAAUGAAGGGUCAUCUGAAGCUGCAGAUCUUGCUGCUGGCUCUGUCAUCGAGAUUCUCUUCUACAGGGCCAGUAAUUCAUGGACAUAUGCAAAUGCCAUUACUUUUCAUGACCAAAGUAAUGUCUGUCUGUCUGGCCAUCCAAGAAACAUGCCUAGAUGAUUAUAAUCCUCCUCAGUAGAAUGCGGAAUGUACGUAUAGCCUACUUUCUCAUGCUUGCACAAGAACAACCUUCAUGCGUAUCUCUUUUGGAAUGGAGCUUAGAAAACCUUGAGGCUGUUGGGAUACCAAAUUUUCUGGAAUAUAUUUACGUUAACAAGUUUGUUGGACAUGAGAUUGAUCUUUGCCUAGUGAAAGUUUUCCUUGAAAUGCAAAAGCAUUAGUGAAGUUGACCAUCUCUUCCGUAUGGAACGGUACUCAAGCUGAUGAUGGAAACAAGUCUAAGAUUAUAGAAAAGUUAUUGGCAUUUCUAAUAGCUUCAACAAGAAUGGAAGUACUUCUCUUGUAACUUAAUUUUUGUUGCUGAAAAGAGCUUCUCUUCUACCAGGCCAGUAAUGCAUGGACAUAUGCAAAUGCACUUACUUUUUGCAACCAUAGCAAUGUCUAUCUGUCUAUCUGGCCGUCCAAAAAACAUGUACAGAUAAUUAUAAUCUUUCUCAGUAGAAUGCCGAAUGUAUAUAAUGCCCACUUUCUCAUGCUUGCACAAGAUAGACUAAGCAGCUUACCAGAAGAUCAACUUACAGUUUGUCCAAAACUGGAGAUACACCUAUGAGUCUCUUCCUAUUCUUGUAUUUGAUUCCUUCCAAUUUGUUGCUGCUGAAAGUGGGUUGGGUUACGUUCUUUUCUUGGCAAUGCUAUAAGGAAAAAUGCAAUGAAUCUAUGAUGGGUUAUUGUCUACAAUUUAACUCUUUUUUUUCUUGCAUUUUGGGAGACUUACGUAACUGAAGUUUACGUCUUGUAUUGUAUUAUUAGAUACUUAUAUUGACAAUGUUAUAUGAAUUAAUAACAAAUGAUAGGUCGGUCUUUAUAUGAAAGUGAUUGUUACUCUAUUUAACA